CUCCAGACUCCUACGGGAGGCAGCAGUGGGGAAUAUUGCACAAUGGGGGAAACCCUGAUGCAGCGACGCCGCGUGAGCGAUGAAGUAUUUCGGUAUGUAAAGCUCUAUCAGCAGGGAAGAAGAUGACGGUACCUGACUAAGAAGCCCCGGCUAACUACGUGCCAGCAGCCGCGGUAAAACGUAGGGGGCGAGCGUUGUCCGGAAUGACUGGGCGUAAAGGGUGCGUAGGCGACAUAAUAAGUUAGAAGUGAAAUUCCCAGAGCGUAACUCGGGUGCUGCUUCUAAGACUGUUGAGCUUGAGUGCGGGAGAGGUUAAUGGAAUUCCUAGUGUAGCGGUGGAAUGCGUAGAUAUUAGGAGGAACACCAGAGGCGAAGGCGAUUAACUGGACCGUAACUGACGCUGA
rnacentral:rRNA from 1 species